CCCGGCGGCGCUGGGGGCACGGCGUUGCCGUGCGGGGUUGAGGAGCCCCGGAGUGCUCGUCGCCUCGCCCAGCCGCCCUGCGGGAGGGCUGCUCGGUGCGGGGCCCGGACGGCUCGGGGCUGCGGCUCCGGGCGUGUGCCUGUUCUGUCUUCCUGUGUCGUCAGCCCUGUGACGCGUGGCGGCAGCCAGCGUGAAGCUGGGCCUGGUGGUAGCUGUGGGCAGCCCACCGAGCGCCCUGCCCAGUGAGUUAUUCCCUGGUAGUCUGCAAGGGAAGGCUGCUCAGAAGUGUGAUGGGCAUUUUUAUUAUUAUUAAUGUCAGCAUGUUCGCACUGAGGUUAGAUUACAGCCCCAUUGUGAGUGGUUCGGAGACAGCCUGUACUCUGGGGAACACGCUGUCCGAACAGGAACGGCAGCAGAAAGGGCAGGGAACGAGCACAGCCCGAGGAGAGGAAGCUCUUUUCCCUCGGUUCAUGCAGCAGAAAACAGACUUCCUGCACCAUGCAGGCCCCUUAUCCUUUGGACCGCACGGUCUUCUUGUGUCCUGAUCUUCAGCUGGCGGAACACAGCUUCAUCCCGCUGAAAAGCCAGUGAAGCAGACGGGAGGACAACUCUGCUUCCUGAUGACAUGGUUGUUUCCACCAGGCAAGACAAUGGACCGAGCACUAAUGAUGGAAGAGUAGCAGACAGUAUCAAAUAACAUGUGCUUCCUGCCAGAGCAUUUCAGAAAGUUGAACCAAACCACUGCCUAAGCAUCUGGACUAAAGCUUGGGAAAAUAAGGAUGAGAGGACAAGAUCCAGCAGAUCUGAAAUGUUGGGGUAUAUGGUGUCCUGGAACAACCUGUUUAACCCACCAGCCACUGACAGAACUUCCUUUGUUUAGUAUUACUUUUUAUUUUCUUCUGUUUUGCAAUU